GACGAACGCUGGCGGCGUGCCUAAUACAUGCAAGUAGGACGCAGUUGCGAACGGGUGAGUAACGCGUUGGUACCUACAUAUUAGAGGGGGUUAACUCUUGGAAUCGAUAGCUAAUACCGCAUAUUAGUAGAUGGACCUUCGUUGUAUUAGGUAGUAGGUAGGGUAAUGGGCUACCAAGGCAACGCUACAUAGCCGACCUGAGAGGGUGAUCGGCCAAACUUGGACUGAGAAAAGGCCCAGACUCCUACGGGAGGCAGCAGUAGGGAAUCUUCGGCAAUGGGGGGAAGCCUGACCGAGCAACGCAGCGUGAGUGAAGAAGGUUUUCGGAUCGUAAAGCUCUGUUGUUAAGGAAGCGGUAAUUAACCAGAAAGGGACGGCUAACUACGUGCCAGCAGCCGCGGUAAUUC
rnacentral:rRNA from 1 species